GAAAUAUGUUAUAAAAAUGUUAAUGAUAAAAGUAUAAAAAAGAAUAAGGAUGAGGAUAAUAUAUCUAUUUGUGAUGAUAUUAACUGCAAUAAUAGUUACAUUGUAAAAGAUAAUACAGCUUUUUGUACCAACAAUCGCAUAGGUUACGACAAUGAUAAUUGCAUAGGGUAUAACAAUAACAAUCGCAUAGGAAAUGAAAAUAACAAUCGCAUAGGAAAUGANNNNNNNNNNCAUAGGAAAUGAAAAUAAUAAUCGCAUAGGAAAUGACAAUAAUAAUCACAUAGGAAAUGAAAAUAAUAAUCGCAUAGGAAAUGAUAAUAAUAAUAAUAAUAAUAGUAAAAAUAUACCUAACAUGUAUUACACAAAAAAGGACAAAACAAAUUUUAAUAAAAAUAGUAUACCCAUUAAUAACGAAGUAAAUAAUAACAUACAUAUAUGUACUAAUCACCAAAAUGAAACAUACAAAAAUUCUAAUAGUUAUAAAAACAAAAAUAAAGAAUAUAUACAACAAUCUAUAAACAACAAUAUUAAUCCAAAAUCUACAUACUAUUGUAGUCCACCAGAAGAAAAUUUUAACAAAUCAAUAGUUAAACAUACAACUUUAAAAAAAAAAAAUGUGUAUAUAGCGAAUUGCAAAAGUAAUAACACUUGUGCUAAUAUUAAAAAUGGUAACUGCAAUGUUAAUAAUAGCGGCUGUAAUGUUAAUAAUAGCGGCUGUAAUGUNNNNNNNNNNAAUGUUAAUAAUAGCGGCUGUAAUGUUAAUAAUAGCGGCUGUAAUGUCAAUAAUAGUAGCUGUAAUGUCAAUAAUAGUAGCUGCAAUGUUAAUAAUAGUAACUGCAAUGUCAAUAAUGAUAAUAAUCACAAUACUUUAAGUUCUACACAUAAUAACAUGAAUGCUGAACCAAUAAACAAUAUGUUAUCUUAUCCGAUUAAUUUAACAACAUGUAAAAAGCAUAAACAAAUUAGUAGUAAAAAUAAAUCGACAAGUAAUGAAAUUCGAAUCGUUGGUAACAGGGAUAGUAAUACGUCCAACCGUAGUGAUGAUAACAUGAUCAAUUUUAAUAAUAAAUAUACAAAACACAAUAACAAUUGGAAACAUACAAUUUCUAUUAAUAGCCAAAACAACAUUACCGAUACUGCUAAUAGUAUUAAUACAAAUACAACACAAGCACAUAACGGCCCAUACAACGACCCACAUAAUGACUCACAGAAUGACCCACAUAACGACUCACAUAACGACCUACAUAACAAUCCACAUAACGACCCACAUAAUAAUAAUAAUAAUAGUUAUAAUAAUGUGCAGGAAAAUACGCAUAAUAAGCAUAACGAAAAUAAUGUUGCAUACCACCAAUAUGUAACACCCAUGUCCAACCAACUGCAGGAUCACGACGAACAAACAAAAACAAAUGAAACAAGUAAUGCUGCAAAUACUUGUAAUGAAAACAUACUUAAAAAAACAAACUCUAUGACGUAUACGAAUCAUAAUAAUGCGAAUAUACCACAUAAUGUAUCAGCGAGUGUAGAAAAUGAAGAUGUGCUACUAUAUAAAGGUCAGUUUAUAAAUACCAAUCCAAAAAAAAAUUUGAACGAAACAAAUGCAACUUUUUGUAUGAUUAAUGAAAACAAAAUAAGUUAUAAUACAAAAGAGUAUACAUAUAACAAUAUAAAAAUGAUAAAAGUAGCACAGAAAAAUAAACUAGUACAUAAUCGUGUUAAUACUAAUAGUAGUAGUAAAGACACAAACACACAAAAUAAAAAUUAUCCCAAAAUAAAAUCGUUAAUUAAUAUUUUAAAAAAAAAUAAUAAAAAUAAAAAAAUGCAGAUGAACAAUAUGCAUAAUGAUGGUAUGCAUAAUGGUGGUAUGCAUAAUGGUAGUAUGCAUAAUGGUAGUAUGCAUAAUGGUAGUNNNNNNNNNNUAAUGGUAGUAUGCAUAAUGGUAGUAUGCAUAAUGGUAGUAUGCAUAUUGGUACUAUGCACAAUAGUAGUAUGCACAAUAGUAGUAUGCACAAUGGUAGUAUGCAUAAUGGUAGUAUGCAUAGUGGUAGUAUGCAUAGUGGUAGUAUGCAUAGUGGUAGUAUACAUAAUGAAAAUGAUGAAUUAAUUGUCGGUUCGAAUGUAAAAGAUGAUAGUAUUCAGGUGAGAAAUACAAAUAUAUUGGAUGCAAAAGUAUGUAAUAUUAAUGAUAAUACGAGCGGUUUAAGUGCAAAACAGUACUACCUUAUAAAUAACAACGCUAAUGGUAAUGGUAGCGGUGGCGGUGGAUAUGGCACAAAUAUACACAAUGUUUGCGGACAUGGCACCAAUUGCUACAAUACAUGUGGCUAUAGUAACAACAGUGAACGGUUUAACUCAGCUUCAAACCAUUUUAACAGUAGUAAAGAUUAUGCUAUACACGAUCAUUAUAUCGGUUACGUUAAAAAUGAAAAUAAUCAUCACAUUAGUUCUGAAAAAUCAAACUACGCACAACUAAAUAUUAGCAAUAACACAGUUAACAACGAAGAGUAUUUAUACGGACACAAUCACCACACUUAUGACCAACCUUCUACUAUACCCAAGCAGACAUCUAUAUAUGAUAAACAAAAUAAAAAAUGCAUAAACAAUUUAGUGUUAAAUAAAAAAGAAAAAAUAAACAUAACAAAUAAUAAAACAUCAAAUAUUACAACUGGUACUACUACUAAUACUACUACUACUACUACUACUACUACUACUAAUAUUAAUAAUGUAUAUUCAAAAAAUUGGAACCUAUCGUUUAAAAAUAACGAAAAUGGUGAUGUAAAACAACAAUAUAAUAAAACAGAAAAGGAGCUAUUUUUAUAUGGUAAUAAUUUUUUUUCUAACACUGAACAUGAAAAUACAAAUUCAUCUAAUUUUGUAAACCCAAAUUUAAAAGAUUUGAACUUACAAAACGUUUUAGUAAGUAAUAAUAUAGAUAACACACUAGACAUUUUUUUAAGUGGUUUACGUAAUAGUUUCUAUUUACACAAAAAUGUAAAACAAUCAGAUGGGUAUAACAGAAUGAGUAAUUAUGGACAUAGUAGAAGUAUAAACAGUUUAAGAAACAUUGAAUUAGAAAAUGACAUAUGUACGAAUAAGUUCAUAGGAGCACCCUUUGAAAAUAAACACACCGACAUACAUACAUAUCAACAUCCGAACAUCCACACAUAUCAACAUACAGAAAUGUACCCAUAUCAACAUGAUACUCACCAACACCAAGAUAUAUAUACUACAUAUCAACAUACAGACUUAAACACCCAUCAACAUAUAGAUAUGUACACAUAUCAACAUACAAACAAUUUCACAAAUAAGCAUACUGAUACGAUACCAGAGGUAAGAAAUUAUAUAUAUGACAGCGCAGUUCACGAAAUCAUAUAUAAAAUACGAAUUCAUAGCAAUAAAAUUUUUACAGAUGUAUUCAUGAAUAGUGAUUCAAAUAAAAAAAAAAAACUAAACGAACUAAAUAAAUAUUUAUCCAUAAUAAUACCAAGAAAUGAUAUAAAUUUUUUUAUCGGUUUGAGUAAAUUUUAUGAAUUCUUUAAUAUAUUAUUUAAUUCAAAUUAUAUAUAUAAAUAUAAUUCAUAUAUUUUGUAUAAUUUAUGUGUCGUAAUUAAAAAUUUGUUACAACUAUUAAAUAUAGGCAAAUAUAUUUUUUAUAUAAUCAAAACAUGUAUGCAGUGUAUAGUUAAAUUAAUUGUUAUAAAACCUGUAUCUAUAACAGAUAAAGCUUGGUUUGUUUUAUUAAAUGUGUACAAAUGUUUGUUUCAAAAGUUAUAUGAAUAUUUUAAAGAAGACAUCGUUAACUCGACUUAUAUUAAUAACAAAAUUGGUACAAAUAAUAGCCGUACAACAACCAGAGAUGACGUAGGUAGACGUUCCUUACAAAAUAAUAAUAAUAAUAAUAAUAAUAAUAAUAAUAAUAAUAAUAACAGCACUAUAAAAAUUAUUCUUUCCUUUAUUAACAUGUUUAACGAUACCAUAUUAGAAUAUUCUAAAAUAAGAAUGAUAUACAGAAAUAAAAAAAUAGAAGAAUUAAUAGCUUUUCCAUUAUAUGAAACAUUAAAGCCAUUUUUUUUUAUGAAUACAUCAUAUGCAAAUGAUGGUAUGACAAAUAAAAAUGAAGAUAAUACAAGCAGUGAUGAAGAAACAAUAGAUUAUUACAGAGAAGACGGAACAACAUCCAUAGCGACAAAAACAGAAGAGGACACUGAUAUGGAAGCUGGAGAAAAAGAAAAAAACAAAAUUAGUAACAGAGGAGAUAGUAAAAACGGUAAUAUUGAUGAAAAUAAAAACAGUAGACAAACUGAUUUAAAGAGCAUCAUUCAAGAACAAUACACAACCAAUAACAGAACAGGCCAAAACAUAACAAGCCAAAACAUAACAAGCCAAAACAGAACAGGCCAAAACAUAACAAGCCAAAACAGAACAGGCCAAAACAUAACAAGCCAAAACAUAACAAGUCAAAACAUAACCAACCAAAACAUAACCAACCAAAACAUUGCACAAGAAUAUACUUGUAACAAUUCCAAUUCUAUUGGAACGUGUUUUCCUAUGAAUUAUGAGUAUACUGGUGUUAAAAGUAGUAACAAUAGUAACGAUAAUAAUGCUUGUCAAUAUCUGUUUGUACAAGAAACUAAGCAGUCUGAAAAAAAUGGUAGUACAUCACAUGAUAUGCAAUAUGGUUUAGAAUCUAAAAAAAAAAAGAAAACAUAUGAUGAUAAUAAGAAUAACGAAAAUAUAAAUGAGACAACAUUCAUGCGUAACGAAAAAAAUGAACAAAAAAAAGAGAUUACUAAGAGUGGAAAAAAUACAUAUAAUAUGGGAAAUAACGACACAGGCAAACACGAUAUAAACAAUAGUAGUCAUAACAAAAAAAAAAUAAAUAAUGAUGAUGAAAAUAUGAGUAAUAGUAUAAAACUAAACAAAACAGAUGAAGAACUAUCUGUGUUAAUGCGAUGUAACUUAUUAUGUUCUGUACAUGCACUUAUUAAAAUGUUUUCUUAUAUUUAUAUAAAUAAUUGGAAUAGAAUAUUAUAUUAUUAUAAUGAAGAAAGUAAAAAAAUGAUACCUAUUUUUUUAACUAUUACUCUUAAUGAUAACAAUCAAAAAAUUCGAACUUACUCCAUUUUUUGUUUGAAAAGUUUAUUUGAUGGUAAACAGCUAAAGUUUUGGUUUUUGACUAAAGAUGAUGGUUUUAAUCGUGAUACUGAUGCUAAUACUGUUGGUGUUUAUUCUCAAGGUAACGAAAAUUGUAUUAAUGGAACUGAAAAUAAUGAACAGAAUGGUAAUAAAACAAAAGUUAGUGAUAGUAAUAUUUCACAUGUACAAAAUAUCUUUCAAUAUAAGAAAAGUAUGUCAUGCGAUACGGACCUACCAUACAUAAAAAGUUUUUCCCGUGAUACAGAUAUAACAUACAUGAAAAAGACGUUAAAUGAUCAAGAUACUCCACCAUAUGUAAAAAGUAUGUCAAGUGGUACGGAUGCACCAUGUAUGCAAAGUAUUUCGUAUGACACGGACUUAUCAUAUAUAAAAAGUGUAUCCUUUAAUACGGAAUCACAGUAUAUGAAAAGUGCUGCAAACGAUACGGACAUACCUUACAUAAAAAGUAUGUCAUAUGAUACGAAUCUACCCUUUAUGAAAAGUAUGUCGUGCAAUACAGAUAUAUCCUUCAUGAAAAGUAUGUCAUGCAAUACGGACUUUCCAUACAUAAAAAGUAUGUCAUGCAAUACAGAAUUAACAUACACGAAAAAUAAUAUGACAUGCAAUACGGACCUACCAUUUAUGAAAAGUAUGUCAUGUAAUACUGAUCUAGUACGUAUGAAAAGUAUUUCACAUGAUACGGACCUAAUAUACACAAAAAGUGUGUCAUACGAACAGGAUAUAGCACCAUAUGUAAAAAGCAUGUCCUAUACUACCGACAUACCACAUGAACGAGACAUGACACCAUACGUGAAAAGUAUGUCAUAUGUCACUGACACAUCACAUGAACAAGAUACACAACCAUAUGUAAAAAGUACGACUAUAUCUAAUAACAUAUCACAUGAACAAAAUAUACACCCAUAUGUUAAAAGUAUGUCAUGUGACACAAGUAUGUCACAAAAUAAAAGUAUAUUAGAAAAAUUUAAUCUACGCAAUAAUAUAAAUUUUUUAAAAAAUUAUAACAAAAAUGAAAAUAAUAAAAAUAAUGAUGAUACUAUAAACUAUGAAUUUGAAAAUAAAAAUUAUGACUCUUCAAAUAUAUAUUCAGUAAAUAAUAACAAUUACAAUAUAAAAAAUAAUAAGCUAUUAAGUAAGAUAAAUCGAAACAUACAUGAAGAACAAAGAAACACAGAAACUAAUUUAUUUAUAAAUGAUUAUGCAUAUAAAAAAGAAGAUGCUAUGUUUAACGUUUAUGAUGAAUAUGAUAACAGUAACAUAAAUUUAAAUAAAUUAGAAAGAAUAAACAGUAAUAACAGUAACACUAAUUAUAUUGAAGAUUAUAUGUCUAACGAAAUGAAUAAAGUAGAGCUAGAGAAAAAUGCUUUUGACAAAAAAAAAGAAUACAAUAAAAUAAAUGCUUAUAAUGUAAAACUUAAUACAUCCUUCUGUAACAAAUACAACAAAAAUACAAACAAUUCAACACAAAAAAUCAUAAAAACGGAUGCUACCAUGUUGGAUAAACAAUUUUAUGAAAACAUAAAUAAAAACUCGAUCAUUGAAGAUAAUCCUGUUGAUGUUAAUAUGGCUGAACGUAGUAAUAACACAAGUGCAGUAGAAUAUAAAAAUACGUAUGACAACAUAUAUAACAACAACGAUAUAUAUAAUAAUGUACAUACUAAUGUAAAUAAUAAUGUACAUACUAAUGUAAAUAAUAACGUACAUACUAAUGCAUAUAAUAAUAAUGAAUAUAAAAAAUGUAUAACAGAAAAUAAUAUUAUUAAUAUCUUAUCAGAAUUGAUUAAAAUUAUUGGCAAAACGUAUAUGUAUAAUGGCAAUAACGAAGAUAGCAAUAAUGGCACUGAUAUAUAUGGCAAUAACAAUGACUCUUUUAGCGGCUACAACAGUAAUGAUCGUGGUAAUACGCAUCACAUUCAUACAGCGACAGACAGAUUAAACAUUUACCGCUUUGUUUUAAGAGUUGCACAAUCUAUUGUUAUACCUAAAUAUAAAAAUAUACUUAUACAACUAUUUAAGGGUUGUUUUUUUUAUUUAUUAAAAUAUUUAAUUUAUUUUAAUAAUGGUGAU
ensembl:lncRNA